rnacentral:lncRNA from 1 species
UUAGUUUCAUGCUAUUUGACAGAUUGACACCAUCAAAUCAUUUAGGAAAGUUGCCAAAGUACAGAUUCUAUAUUUACAGAUUUCACCUCUUAGGUCCGAGACCACAAUUAUUUCGUAGUGCAUUUCUUUUAGAACAUAAAUGAAAAUUAAAAAAAAUCCCACCUGCGCUUUCUCAAAGAAACUUUUACAGUGUGUUGUACUACUUUUGGGACAAAUUAUAUCAAAAUUAUAGAAAACUUCAUCGUCUCUAACUCAAAAUAUGGACAAUUUUAUCUUUUAAUAGGGCGUUUUGAAACCUUUUGACAGCUUCCGAAGUGCUAUUUUUCAACCUUUUUCACCUGGACCAAAUCACUACUUUCCUUUAAAAUUCUGGACCCAAAUUUUUUUACAGUGUAAUUUCACCCCCCUUCUUGCAAUUUGAGGCAUUAAACAU